GGGGGGUAGAAUUCCACGUGUAGCAGUGAAAUGCGUAGAGAUGUGGAGGAAUACCGAUGGCGAAGCCAGCCCCCUGGGCUAACACUGACGCUCAUGCACGAAAGCGUGGGGAGCAAACAGGAUUAGAUACCCUGGUAGUCCACGCCCUAAACGAUGUCUACUAGUUGUUGGUGGAGUAAAAUCCAUUAGUAACGCAGCUAACGCGUGAAGUAGACCGCCUGGGGAGUACGGUCGCAAGAUUAAAACUCAAAAGAAUUGACGGGGGCCCGCCCAAGCGGUGGAUUAUGUGGAUUAAUUCGAUGCAACGCGAAAAACCUUACCUGGCCUUGACAUGCCACUAACGAAGCAGAGAUGCAUUAGGUGCCCGAAAGGGAAAGUGGACACAGGUGCUGCAUGGCUGUUGUCAGCUCGUGUCGUGAGAUGUUGGGUUAAGUCCCGCAACGAGCGCAACCCUUGCCAAUAAUUGCCAUCAUUCAGUUGGGCACUUUAUUGGGACUGCCGGUGACAAACCGGAGGAAGGUGGGGAUGACGUCAAGUCCUCAUGGCCCUUAUGGCCAGGGCUUCACACGUAAUACAAUGGUCGGUACAGAGGGCAGCCAACCCGCGAGGGGGAGCCAAUCCCAGAAAGCCGAUCGUAGUCCGGAUUGCAGUCUGCAACUCGACUGCAUGAAGUCGGAAUCGCUAGUAAUCGCGGAUCAGCAUGUCGCGGUGAAUACGUUCCCGGGCCUUGUACACAGCGCCCGUCACACCAUGGGAGUGGGUUCUACCAGAAGUAGUUAGUCUAACCGCGAGGGGGACGAUUACCACGGUAGGAUUCAUGACUGGGGUGAAGUCGUAACAAGGUAACC
rnacentral:rRNA from 1 species